GUCACGGGAUCGUUAGCGGAAUCAUAAUCGCGCCGUCUUUCCGCCCAGGGAGCGCCCCCGACGUUAGGCAUAAGAUUCGUGUGCGUUGGCCCGGUCCUUUCGGUUCCGGAUUCCUCAGCCCCCAGCCCCCCGGGGUCGUCAGGAUCGGGUCUAUUCACAAGUAAUGGCAAAGGGCCAACGCGAGUUGGUCCUUUU
rfam:Bradyrhizobium sp. ORS278,complete sequence.